UGAAACACGAUGACAAGGACAAGUAAGCAGGUGCGGCCCAUCCUUCAGAAAGCCGGUGGUUGAUGCGAACCGGCGGAUCCGCUUUGCUGAAUGGCCCUUCGAGUGCCGGGCUGAACGGGAUAAUGCUGUUAUUCCUUAAUAUGCCGGCCGGGUAUUCUCCGUUACAAGAAUGGAAGGCUGCAGCCUGCGUAGGAUGAUGCUUGCAGCGAAUAAGGGUGGCACCACGGUCUCACGUCCCUUGC
rnacentral:ncRNA from 1 species